UCGCGUUAAUGAUGGACUUUAAAAGUGGAGGGCGAACAAGGGAAUCAAGCAAGGUGAUGCAACUGCAUGUGAGAGCAGACUCGACGAGCGCACGGAGCGCAAAGGAAGCGCGCUAGGGAUAUGACAUUUAAGAAAUCAAAAUUCAGGCCCAAAACUUUUUCGAAAUGUUACAUAACCGAGACAAGGUUUGGGUUUGUUUGCUCAAUUUUAGAAAACCUAAGCAGGCCCUGCUUAUGCGGCCUAUAUUUUCGGGUCCACUACUCAAUAAAUGAUACCUUUGUAUAUGAAUUAGUAUCAGUAUUUGGCUGAUCAGGGAUCAAUCAGUGAACUGAUGUCAAGCUCCGGUUAUAAAGUAUAUUCCAAAUUAAAUCCAUAAAGGCAAUACAUUACUGUGGUUAUUCAUCAUACACACUUAUUUUAGUUCACCGAGACCCGAUAUCUCUGGAGGUGGAAGCAGGGCAGGGACGAACAGUCCCGGGGAAGACCGCCAGAUCACCUGAAGGGUCGAGGCCACGCUCCGCGCACACACUUGUAGUCGCGUACAAUAACGAGGGGAACACUUAACAAAUAUUAUGAUAGUUUAUAUGAGAAUGUCUUCUCGAUCUAUAAAAUGUUGGUAUUAUUAGAAUGUAAAAUCACCACAGUGCACAGUCAGUGUAACAAACCACUGUUUUAAUUAUAUCAUUUGUAAUAACUUUGAAGCGUUAUUGCACAGCAGGACAAGUACAACCACAUUAAGAUCUCAGGUAGAAAAAUAACGCAAGCAUUGUACAUAUCUCGACCUGCAUUUACAGUUUUUUUCAGGCGCUACCAAGCGUUUGUCCAAACAGUGGUCACAUUUUCAAAACUCUAAACACAAUUAGCACAGCAACGGUCUUUUGUGGCCGUACCAUUCACACAUUUCAUGUCGUUUUCAAACAAUAUGCAGUCAGUGAACACAUUUUCACAAUGCUUACAUUUUCUUAACAGACAAGCUAUACCUCUAAACAAAAUUAUGGAUUGUUUUUGUAUCAUUUACGAAUGUUAACACACAACAUCCCACAAUAUUCCAAACCUUAGAUACAGUCUAAAAACCUGUUAUGCAAUGAUAGCAGUUCUAAAACAAUAUAUCUUAGCUGAUAAUAAACAAACAAUUGAUUCCCCAUCUCCUCCUGAUGGUAAGUUUGGAAUGUUUUUGAGAAAUAUGUUUUAGCAAGUUUUGGAUUAGAAUUUAAGUUUUGAUUAUGACAGGUUGAGAUGUUGCAGACACCACCUACAUUGACUAACCGAAUGUUGUUCAAUCAGCUAUUGCAGCCGUUGCCCCAAAACAUAGUUUAUUUGUAAAAAAAACAACAAAAAAAACCAGUUUGGAUUGAACUUUUUUAAAGGAACAAUAGUUCCCCCCUUUUUAUCUAGGCUUGUUGCCGUUGUUUUUUUGUUCAGAAUGCUCUUGUGUGUUUCUUGGAUAUUUUGUUCACUGUAAGCAAUACUGUAAAACUUUUUCUGUUCCUAUACUGUAAACAGUAUUUAUACUGUAACUCCUGUAGUAAACAGUAAAGAGAAAAAAACUGAUUUGGUUUUUACUGGAAUGCUUUUGAAUGUGAACAUUACAUGUGGACAUACAGUUCCCAACCAAGAAAUGUAGUGUAAAAACAGUGGAUUACAUGUUUUGCAUGCAAAUACCUGAAAAACUGAAACAUAAAAGUCUAUGCAGUUUUUCUAAUGUCAGCAAAUGCAGUGUUUUUCAACCUGGUGGACUUUGAUUGACUGGAAGGACCUUGUGAAGUGAAAACAAGAGUUAUUCUUUGACAGAAUAAUUUCAUUUUGAGUCAGAUUUCCAGUGUUUUGGUAAAUUUAGUGUCUGCAGAAAAAGAUGUGUUCUAUUUUGAAAUGAAGAGUUAAUAUAUAUUUAACAAAAUGUGCUUUUGACAAGAAAAUUAUCCAUUUGGCCAAUUGUGCUUUGUAGGUGUGAGUGUGUGUUAAGAGUUUAGAAAAAGUAUCUGAAGUAUGGGUAAGCGCUUGUUAGCGAUUGAAAAAACCUGUAAUGAUAGCAUCAGUUAUAUUAAAAUGCAGUUAAGUAUUUAUAGAUACAUGUGCUUUAUCAGUACUCUUAAAAAGUGCAAUUAACACUUCCAUUAUUUCACAAGUAACAUGUUUUUUAAUCUUUAUUUAAAUAUCUUCAUCUGUGAUCUGGAUUGUACAUUUCAAAAGUCUGACUGUAGCAACAAUGGCGAUAUUGUUGCUUAUAUCUCAAAUAAAUGUUUUCAUCUUU